rnacentral:rRNA from 1 species
AGAGGGACUUGUCUAUUUAAUUGAUAAACCCUCAUUAAUUUUGUUUUAAGGUUAGUUUUGUAUACCCUCAUUUAAAUAAUUUAAAUAUAAAUAAUUAUUAAAAUUUUUUCUAGAAAAUUAGAUCAAGGGGCAGAUAUACUUUAAGGUAGAUUAGGUACAAUAACACCUUAUACUGUAUUAGGUGAAAGGCUAGUAAAGGGGGGAUUUAAUUGUAAUAUAAAAUUACANAUAUGAAAAUUAAAAUUUUAGUGUACAAAUUGCCCGUCACCCUUUUUGAGAUAAGUCGAAACAAAGUAGAAGGACCCGAAGGUGUUUCU